rnacentral:rRNA from 1 species
GGGGAAUUUUCCGCAAUGGGCGAAAGCCUGACGGAGCAAGACCGCGUGGGGGAUGAAUGCCUAAUGGUUGUAAACCCCUUUUAUUCGGGAAGAUAAUGACGGUACCGAAUGAAUCAGCCUCGGCUAACUCCGUGCCAGCAGCCGCGGUAAUACGGAGGAGGCAAGCGUUAUCCGGAAUUAUUGGGCGUAAAGCGUCCGUAGGUGGUUGGACAAGUCAGCUGUUAAAGAGUGGUGCUUAACACCAUAAAGGCGGUUGAAACUGUUUAACUAGAGUUUGGUAGGGGUUGCGGGAAUUCCCAGUGUAGCGGUGAAAUGCGUAGAUAUUGGGAAGAACACCGGUGGCGAAAGCGCGCGACUGGACCUGAACUGACACUGAGGGACGAAAGCUAGGGGAGCGAAAGGGAUUAGAUACCCCUGUAGUCCUAGCUGUAAACGAUGGAUACUAGGUGUUGCCCGUAUAUCGACCCGGGCAGUGCCGUAGCUAACGCGUUAAGUAUCCCGCCUGGGGAGUACGCUCGCAAGAGUGAAACUCAAAGGGAAUUGACGGGGGCCCGCACAAGCGGUGGAGUAUGUGGUUUAAUUCGAUGCAACGCGAAGAACCUUACCAGGACUUGACAUGUCGCGAACCCUCUUGAAAGGGAGGGGUGCCUUCGGGAGCGCGAACACAGGUGGUGCAUGGCUGUCGUCAGCUCGUGUCGUGAGAUGUUGGGUUAAGUCCCGCAACGAGCGCAACCCACGUUUUUAGUUGCCAUCAUUAAGUUGGGCACUCUAGAGAGACUGCCGGUGACAAACCGGAGGAAGGUGUGGAUGACGUCAAGUCAGCAUGCCCCUUACGUUCUGGGCUACACACGUACUACAAUGCUACGGACAAAGGGCAGCAAGCUAGCGAUAGCAAGCAAAUCCCAUAAACCGUGGCACAGUUCAGAUUGCAGGCUGCAACUCGCCUGCAUGAAGGAGGAAUCGCUAGUAAUCCCAGGUCAGCAUACUGGGGUGAAUACGUUCCCGGGCCUUGUACACACCGCCCGUCACACCAUGGGAGUUGGUUUUGCCCGAAGUCGUUACUCCAACCGUUCGCGGAGGGGGACGCCGAAGGCAGGGCUGAUGACUGGGGUGAAGUCGUAACAAGGUAACC